GUAAAGUUACCAACAAAUGGCUCCAAGAUUGACACCUGACUUGGGGUGACAUAGUCUACUCUAGAAACUCUAAUACUAGUAGCAGAUAACCAAGACCACUAGCCCAAAUAUUUUAUUUGUUGCAAUAGACUAGUUCCCUCCCGCCCUUUUUAUUUUCACCAAAUUUUCAAUUCCCACUAUUACAAAAAUUCCUCUUUCUCUUUCGUAUUCUCUAAAUCCAACAUUUUUCACAAAAUCAAAAUCUGAGUUUGCCAAGGAAAGAAGAAGAAACCAAAGCAAGAAAACAAAGAAAGGUAAAGCAAUGGAGGCAUUAAGAUUAUGGAGCCUAACAACGUCACAGCCAUUGAGGCAGCUCUUUCACCUCGCAACCUCUACCACCACCACCAACUUCUCUACUAGGCUUGUUCUUAGGUGUUCCUCUGCCACUACUAGCACGACCGAAGGCCACAACCAUCAAUCUUCAUCUUCAUCUUGUUCUUUGUCUUCUUCCUCUUCCACUUCAGAUAGAGAUGUCAUUCACACCAUUCACUUAAAGAAGUUGAUCUCCCAGCACAAGAAAGAGAAAGGGUAACCUUUGUUAAGAGCACCACUAAAAGAAGGAGGUUCAUCCUUACUUAACCCCUCCAUCCUCUUUCCCCUUCUUGCUGUGUUGGCCAUUGGAGAUGCUGCCUCUUAAAUUUCUUGUUUUCACAUACUAAAAGUUUGUGUGAUGAUUAUAGCAUGAGUUUCUUACAAAUUUUUAUUGUUGUUAGGGUGGCAAUCAAUCAAGUGGCUUUUGAUUAAGGCAUGGUUAACACUUUUUUGGAGGCUGAACAAGUGAUUUGUAUUUAAAGCAUGAAUAGUCAUUUUUUUGGAGGUUGAACUAGUUGUAUAUUGAUGCUUUGAGAUAAUGAAUUUAUGUGGUUGUAUAUAAAUUCAACAAGUUGUAUAUAUAUAUAGUAUGGAUGAAGUAUUAUACA